GUUUUUGUUUCCAUUGUGAUUGAAUGAUUUGCUUCUAAUAUGCAUUUUUGAUCCGUUUUAUACAGAUGGAAGAUUGUCUUGUUUCAAGUGGCAGCGUUCCCUUGAGGACAAAAUUGCUAACUUUCAGCUUAAAUUCGAUUCUAAGAGUAGAUGUCUUUGAAUUUUGCUAAUGUGUUAAAAUUCCCGACCAAGAGGAGAUGUAAAUUUUUUAUUUUUUUGUCACUUUCUUAUGUAUAUCUUAAGAUGUAAUGAGAUAACAUUGUUAGUUCAUC
rnacentral:lncRNA from 1 species